UAAAGAGUUCUAUAACUCCCAAACCCAUGUGAACAUACCUAACGUUGCCUCGGCAGGUCGCACCUACCUUGUAGCACCCUACCCUGUAGGGCCUACCCGGGAGGUGCGGGUAAGCCUGCCGGCGGCCCACCAAACUCUGUUUGAUAUUGAAUUCUGAACCUAUAACUAAAUAAGUUAAAACUUUCAACAACGGAUCUCUUGGUUCUGGCAUCGAUGAAGAACGCAGCGAAAUGCGAUAAGUAAUGUGAAUUGCAGAAUUCAGUGAAUCAUCGAAUCUUUGAACGCAUAUUGCGCCCAUUAGUAUUCUAGUGGGCAGGACCGUUCGAGCGUCAUUUCAACCCUUAAGCCUUCGUUGCUUAGUGUUGGGAGCCUACGGCAACGUAGCUCCUCAAAGUUAGUGGCGGAGUUGGUUCACACUCUAGACGUAGUAAUUUUUUAUCUCGCCUAUUAGUUGGACUAAUCCCCUGCCGUAAAACCCCUAAUUUAUCAAGGUUGACCUCGAAUCGGUUCAGACAAACUCGCUAAAUUGAAGCAUCUUAGUCAGCGAAGGAAAAGAAACCAACAGGGAUUGCCCUAGUAACGGCGAGUGAAGCGGCAACAGCUCAAAUUUGAAAUCUGGCCCUCGGGUCCGAGUUGUAAUUUGUAG
rnacentral:rRNA from 1 species